ensembl:ncRNA lncRNA:CR45619 long non-coding RNA:CR45619
ACUUGGCAACAACAGAUGGCCGGCAGCAGCUUAAGGCCAAAGUGAAAGGCAAAACCAAUGCGAAGGACUUUUGUAAAUGAAUUGUCAGCGGAUCGAUCGAUUGAUCGGCCCCCUCACCAAAUGGGGUUAAUCACACAUGUGGUGCCAAUUACCCAGUUAUAAUGAUAGUAAUAAUUCGCGUAAUGGUGGCACGCGUGUCAGAGUUUAAAUCGCAGACCCAGAAAACGAUAUGAACCCUUAAUUACGUGUCAUCAAAUAUCUUUCAUCAAUAAAAAGCGUGCUCAAUGUAUCUACAU